UAAGGUGCUGCUAACAAGUUUGGGCCGAAGGCCCACAUUCUUCCAAGAAAUUCCAAGAAUCGGGUCAAAAAGGUCCAAAAUCCAUGUCCAUGUCGCAAUGCCUUCAACUCCGGAAAUCUUCAAAUGGAUUACGGCGAGAUGGAAGGAAGUGUGCCGCGCUCCAACCACACGCCUCUGCCGUCACCGCGUCAUCGCCGGAAAAGAGAGAUUCACUCCGAUACGUCUUACGUGUUGGCCGUUGUUGUUGUCCAAUUCCAGGUUGUUGCAUCGCGGUGGCGGAUGAUGAAGCGAGACAGACAAACGCGACGGAGCAGCAACAAAACACGACGAACGCGACGAGUUCAACGGCGAAUACACGAAUUCGCCAUUCAAAUGUGAAAUCCACGUCUACCUUCAAUCAUGGUUCAACUUUACCCGCGCAGAAAAAAUAGAAGCAAGAACUCACCGAUCUGAGUCGCCAACAGGUCGUUUGGUUACGAAGGAGGGGCUUUUAAAAGUAUUCAAUUCGCUGUAACACCUUAUGAAAGAAUUUUGUGAAGAUGGCGGGUUGUAUUUGCAGGUUUAGGCUAAAUUGGAGGGUUAUUGGGGUUGGUUUUUGGAGAAGUUUCAUUGAGGUUCGAAGGGAGGGGUUGUCGAUUCUGGAAAAUGGUCGGUUCAGUAUGACUCAUUAGCUUGCUUUAGGUUUUGAUAGGUGAAUUGGCGCAGUUGAUCGGCUUGUGCCGCCAUAAUGUUGCAAGCAAACGUGAAGUCUUUGGAAGCGCAAUGUGGAGGUGACGAUUGCAAAGGCAAAUCCAAGACGAGCCGAUAGCUUCACAUCCUCUUCUUCUUUUUAAUUUGUAAUUGUGUAACUGGAUUAGAUCCGCAUGCUUGUAUUCAUGUUUUAUGCUAUGCCAAGGCUCAUGUGGAUCCAUGACUUAAUGUGAUGCAAAUAUUUUAUGACUAAUGCAAAUCCUGUUUUUCAUUCA